ensembl:lncRNA
GGCUCACUCACAUGUGUGACAGCUGUGGAUAACCGGGAAGAUUUCUGACAAGAUAGUUUUACAAUACAGCUCACCUGUCUAGAUGCAUGACUGGAGUGAGUGAUGUGAAUUGUAGAGAGCUCUUCAGUCCUCUGAAAGUGGAGGAAGAGAUGUAGAACAAGUCAGGUUACAGAUGUACUGCACAUAAAGCAGACAAAUCAAAGAAGAGUAAAGGAAAACCUACCUUAUCCAUGCACUGUUGGCUACGGGCCAGAUCUUCAGCCAAACUUUUUAAUGAUCCAUCUCUACAUGAGAAUUUUCUUGUGCUUAAAUUCAUGAUUACCUCCAAAUUUGAAGAUUCAAGGAAGAAAUUCUUUACUCAGAAGGCUGUGAGGCACUGUAACAGGUUGCCCAGAGAAGUUCUGGAUACCCUAACCCUGGAGGCGUUCAAGGCCACAGCUGGAUGAGCUGCGGGGAGCCUCAGCUGGUGGGUGGCAGCCCUGUCCACAGCAUGAGCACCAGUCAUAGAACCACAGAGCCAUAGAACCAUAGAAUCACAGAACCACUAAGAUUGGAAAAGACCUCCAUGAUCAUCCAGUCCAACCUUCUACCUACCACCAAUAUUUUCCCACUAAACCACGUCCCUCAAGUACAGCAUCUGAAUGUUUCUUGAGCACCUCCAAGGACAGUGACUCCAUCAUCUCCCUAAGCAUCCUGUUACCAUGCUUGACAACUCUCUUGGAGAAAAAGUAUUUCCUAACAUCCGACCUGAAUCUCAUCUGAAUCUCCCCUGGUGCAAUGUGAGGCCCUUCCCUCUAGUCCUAUCACUAGUUACAUGGGAGAAGAGGCCAACCUCCAUCUCACCACAACCUUCUUUCAAGUUGUUGUAGAGAGUGAUAAGGUCUACCCUGAGCCUCUUCUUCUCCAGACUAAAUAUUCCCAGAUCCCUCAGCCACUCCUCGUAAGACUUGCGCUCCAGACCCCUCACCAGCUUCACUGCCCUUCUCUGAACAUGCUCCAGGGCCUCAAUGUCUUUCUUGGAAUGAGGAGCCCAAAACUGAACACAGUACUCAAAGCGUGAUCUCACCAGUGCCAAGUACAGGGGAAUUAUUACUUCCCUGCUCCUGCUGGCAACACUAUUUCUGAUACAAGCUAGGAUGCCAUUGGCCACCUUGGCCACCUGGUCACACUGCUGGCUCAUGUUCAUUUGAGAGUCAAUCAAUACCCCCAGGUCCAUUUCCUCUACACAGUCUUCCAGCCACUCUGCCCCAAGCCUGUAGUGUCGCCUGAGGUUGUUGUGGCCAAAGUGCUGGACCCAGCACUUGGUCUUGUUGAACUUCAUCCCACUGGCCUCAGCCCAGCUACCCAGCCUGUCCAGAUUGCUCUAUAGGGCCUUCCUACCCCCAGGCAGAUCAACGCUUCUCCCCAGCUUGGUGUCAUCUGCAAACUUACUGAGGGUACACUCAAUGCCCUCAUCCAGGUCAUCAGUAAAGAUAUUGAAAAGGACAAGCCCCAGUACCAACCCCUUGGGAGCACCACUCAUGACUGGUCAACAGCUAGAUGUGACUCCAUUUACCACUGCACUCUGAGGCCAGCCAUCCAGCAAGGUGUGUACCUGUCCAAGACACGGGCUGUCAGGUUUCCCAGAAGAAUACUGUGAGAGACAGUGUCAAAGGCUUCACCAAAGUCUAGGUAGACCACAUUAACAGCCUUUCCCUCAUCCACCAGGCAGGUCAAUUGAUCAUAGAAGGAGUUCAGGUUGGUCAAGCAGGACCUGCCUUUCAUGAAUCCAUGCUGGCUAGGCCUGAUCCCCCUAGUUGUCCUGCACAUGCCAUGUGAUCUCCCUCAAGACGAUCUACUCCAUAACCUUCCCUGGCACCAAGGUCAGGCUGACAGGCCUGUAGUUCCCCGGAUCUUCUUUACAACCCUUCUUGUAGAUGGGAGUCAUGCUGGCAAGACUCCAAUCCUCUGGGACCAGGAAUGCUGACAGAUGGUGGAAAGUGGCUUGGCAAUCACCUCUGCCAGCUCCCUCAGCACCCUCAGGUGGAUCCCUUCCAGCCCCCAUGGACUUGUGGCAGUCCAGUUUUGAGAGAGCCAUCCAUUUGAGCAUCAUUCCAGAAUAUGACAUAGUAGAGCUACUUAGGAAAUCUCAAAAAGCCUUUUGGAAAACUGAAGCCUCCUUUACACUUCUCAGUAUGGUCCCAGCACUGUAGGAACUCUGCUCUUCAGGAGAAUGGGAUCCAUUACUCUUCCUGGUUUAUGUCUCAGCAAACUGAAGGUCAGCAUCUCAGUAGGAUCGAUUCAUGGCUCUGCAAAGGAUUCCUGUGCCAAACAACAAACAAAGCACGUUGUAAGUGGGAACAGCUAAAGGCUUUGCUCUUCAAAGGAAUAUGUGCAUCCACUACUUGCUCAGCAAUCUCAAUAGAAGCUGAGGGAGUUAAGGAUUUUGCAAAAUGAGAUCAUGACACAAGUGUGAAUGAGUGGACAUGAAACAGCUCAGUAAUCCUGGUAUUUUACUGCUCUGAUCACUGGCUUUCUCAUUAUGCCUGAUCUCGUCUGGCAACGUGUAUGGAUAAUGAGUGGUUUAUUUCAGAAUAUUGUCAAAUAGGGACACUCAUUCAUAUCCAAAAUGCCUGUUUGUAAAAAUCUGUAAUGAGGCACCCCCUCUCUGUUUCCUGUUAAUUUCUGAGAUUGAAAAUGUUAUGAACAUAUGUUGUCUUUCUUUCUUUCUUUUCUUUUGUACCUCUACAUCUUUGUCCAUAAAGAUCUAAAAAGAAUGGAAAUCUGUG